GUCCACUUAGCUCAAUGGUUAGAGUGCUUGAAGUAUGUUCACGUUUCAAGGAUUUUCCGUCACUCAAGCGAUGCGAGUUCGAAUCUCGCAGUGGACG